UUUGUUUUUGCCUACUCACAUUUUUUGUUUUGCACCCUUUCAGGUUCUAGGUAGUUGGUCAUCCUUGGUGGCUCACGAGGACUUUCACGGCGGUUCUGACAUCUCUGUAAAUAAGUAGGGAUUUUUUUCCCUGUUUGUAUAAUUAGUACUUAGUUGGUUCGAUUGCACUUUCGUUUACCCAUGCUCUGAUAUUUGUAUAACUUGCUUGGUCAUCUUUACUCACUUAUAUUAUCUUAGUUUAGAUAAGUUUGGUUUUAGGUUUUUAUUUAUUCGCAUUUCUUUUAUUAUUACUUCUGUUGCGCAUUUUGGCUACGUUACUCUUACGUGACGGGCAUCAUGUUUCGACUUCGGUUGGGGUGUGUCAUAAAAGCCUCUUCAAGUCUUCAUGAUUUGGCUUGCAGAGAUAUGUGGCUCCAUAUGUGGCCUGAAUUGCCCCACAGAAGCGCUCCAGGUUUUUAAUAGCAGUAGUCUCCGCAAGUCGGCAAUACUCAUCAGUUGAGUUUGCAGAGCACUCAUUAGCUAGCAUCCGAAAUGCAGAUGUGAGCUUCUGAUGAGGUGAUAGACUUUGUCGGCCUACGACAUUUAUCUUCCUUGCAAAGUAGUGGUCAUGAUUGACAACUGUGUUCAAGAUGCUUUCAAAAAUCUCUCUCCUCAUUCGAAACCGUCUCCGAAAAUCAUGAGCAGGAAAUCUCGGACGCUCAAUAAAAUAAUAUUUCAUCAUUCGGUCAUGACACUCUUCUCUAUCACGUUGCACAAAUGAACGCUUCGUGACAUAACCACAAUAGCUAGAUUCGACAUGGUGCUCAUAUUGCAUAAGCGAGUUUGGAAGUUUAGCUUAUGCGUUGAUCAUUUUUGAAUCCUCAAUGUCAAGGCUUGCUUGGUAUUAUGUCAUUUGCAUUGCCCUGCUACACCUUCUUCUAUCAUCCAUUGUUGAUAUAUUGAGGAUUUUUAUGAAACAAAAACACUUUGAAAGUUGAAAGAUUAGUGAAUAUAGGGAAUGAUUGAAGGUUGAAAGAUUGUGUGACCAACUGAUAUUGAACAUGUGUUUAUAUAGAGGAUGAUUGAUGAAAGUUGAAAGUUUGGUGAAAGUUGAACGGUUGGUGAAAGUUGAAGAUUUGUGAAAGUUAAAGACUUGCUUUGUGGAAAGAUUUAGUGAUUUUUUCAAUAUUUAUUGGAAUUUAAAUAUUUUUAUAUUAAAAUGUUCAUAAAAUUAAUUUACCAUAGGCUACAUAAUUUUUUUUAAAAGUUAAUUUAAGAAAAAAAAUUAGCCUAAGUUCAUUCUUUAAUAAUCCCGAACUAAAAUUUUAGGCUAGGGUUGGAGCAGAAAAACUGUUUCUGUGUUAAAAGCUAAAUUUUUUAGAUUAAAAAUUUUAAAUUUUAACCCAAAGGUUGGAGAUGAUUUAAGAAUGGAUAAACUUAACCAAGAAAAGAAGAAAAAAGAUGAAGGGCAAAUAAGUGAGAAGCAACAUGACACGACACACGGACGACCAUAGCAAUAAAGCGUGCGUCCUCACGUCCAUUGAAUAUAUAGAUGGGAGCUACAACAUCGUGUUUCACGUGCAUGUGUAUUAUACAUAAAGGCAUAUACAGUGUUAGCUUAUAUAUUAUAAAGUUUGUAGGCCACUUACCCAAUUUGGCAUAUGUUUUAUCUUUUUACGUGAAUAACCAAUGUGUUAUGAUGAUACAAGUCUCUUAACAUAUCCGGAGUUAGAAAUAUCAUAAGACAGUGUUGCGAUCAUAUUGAAAUUAAUUGACAGUUUGUAUUAUAUAUUUGAUUAUUCUUUAUUAACUUAAGGAGACAGCAUACUUAGACCUAAUUUAGUCACAUUCUCCAACCGAAAAUAAAGCGGUGUAGUAUUCAUACACUUUUUUUUAUUUCUUACACAGUCUUAAUUAAUUUCUAUUGUUUGAUCUUCUUCAAUUCAUUCGAUCUGACGACCGAAAAUUAAGAUGGUGUGUGGACGAGUAAAUUAUAACAAUGGUCCCUCAACUUUAAUCAAAUUGGAGCAAGGGUGCUCAACUAAAAAUCCAUUACCAUUGGUUCCUCAACUCAUCAAAAUGUGUAGCUAUGGUCAUUUUCGUCAACUUCGUUACAAUUUUGUCAAAAUAAGUUAUAUUGGAAUGACUAUUGCUACAAUUGGGGUCCCUCAACUCAUCAAAACGUGUAGCUAUGGUCAUUUUCAUCAAUUUCGUUAGAAUUUUAUCAAAAUGAGUUUUGUUGGAAUGACCAUUGCUACAAUUGAAUUAAAGUUGAGGGACUAUUAUUUCAAUUGAGUUAAAGUUGAAAGAUCAUUUCUUCAGUUGUAUUAAAGUUGAAGGAUCAAUGGUAAUGAAUUUUUAGUUGAGGGGACUAUAGCUGCACGUUUUAAUGAGUUGAGAGAACAAUAAUAAUGAAUUUUUAGUUGAAAAACUAUUACUUCAAUUGAGUUAAAAUUAAGAAACAAUUGCUACAAUUUUUUUAUAUGGAAAGUGGAUGAUGUGAAUAGCACAUCCAAAAAUAAAAGGGAACUUUAACGAAAAGCACCCGGUACUGUUCACUUUAACGAAAAACCACAUUUUUACACUAAAAAGUCAAUCCUGGUACUAUUCACUUUACCCUUUAUUUUGUCCUUAUCAUUAAAACUCAAAGUUUUCAAGCCCUUUUCAUUAGUUUUCCUAAAAUAAAAUGCACCACAAUUUGGUAGGAUCUUCCUGUUGAGAGUAAUAAAUUAAUAAUUGCCGAAAUAUUGGAUAAUUUGUCGGCCACAACGCUAUGAGGGAGUAUCUGGGGAUGAAUAUACUCUUGCCGACAGAUGCCCAAAUUCCAACUGCCAUUCAAAUGAGCCCUCCACCACCACCGGCCAUAAUAAAUUCUCUUUCUUUAGUGAAGAAGAAAAAGAGGUACUUGGCCCUCACCUCAACUUUUUGAGAAAGAACAAGUUUAUCGCUAUCAGAAUGUUUCGGUCAAUUAUAUAAGUUAUGUGUAAAUUUUUCUUUAGAUAACAUUACAUUAUUAUAUUUAAAAUGUUCCGUAACGAUAAAUUUGUUUCAUACAAAUUAUUCUCCAACUUCUUGGAUUUUUCUCCUUUUUCCCGAAAACCAGCUUAUAUUAGUGUUCAUCCUCUGUCAAUAUCACUCGCCCACAACUAUUCAACUAACUUUUAAUAAUUUGACAACGUGUCAUAUUUUUGUGCAAAGCGGGCCCAUUUUUGUGGGUGAUAUAAUAAUGGCGUAUGUGGUUUGUCAAGACAUAUACUCAUUUAUCCAUUAGCAGUUAGGUAAGUCACCUCACUCACCCACAGCCUAACACAUCAACAAAUAUUGCUUACAAAUUCUAGAAAAUUCGACCAAGAAAAAAAACCAAAUGCUCGCAAAUUAAAAUUGUGUAACAUGAUUAGUUUUUUAUCCAUUAGUAUUAAUUUUACGUUGGAAGAAAUUCCAAAUUUAUUCUUGUAAAGAGGGAUAUGAAAAUACUUUGUAUGUCUAUCACCAAAAUCUUCGAAUGUUUGAAUGGUUGAUUUUCAAGUCUCACACAAUUGGAUUUAGUUCAAGUGAGAAAGAAAUACACUCAAACUAUUAGAUAUGAGGAAUGAAAAUACACUACAAAAUCUUGUGAACAUUUCUAAUAUUCUCUUCUAUCUACUUUUUGUGAACCAAGUUUUUAUUUGUUUUUUUUUUUAACAAAAGAUAUUUUUUAUACUAGGGAAAUAAGGUGGGUUUAGCCUCAUAAUGGGCUAACAUAAUCUAGUUCAAACUUGCAUUUGGUGAGAAUCGAACCUAAAAUCUCUCACUUACAAGUGAAGAGGAAUACCAUUAGAAGUGUCAUGAAAUUAGCAGUCUUAUAUGUAAAAAAUUGAUUGACUAAAUGCUGUGUUAAAAAACAAGAUUAAUACUUGCAUCUCCCCACUUGGAAAAUGCAAAUAUUUCAUUUCUUGCAAAUAACGUAUAUCAUGCGUUCUGUUCAAUCGCAUAUUCAAAAAUGUUAAAAACAAGAUUAAUAUUUCUAUCUCCCCACUUGGAAAAUGCAGUAUUUCAUUUUUUACGAAUAACGUAUAUCCUGUGUUCCGUCCAAUCGCGUAUUAAAAAAAUGUGUGAAGUUUGGAUUAACUACACUCUUUGAGAAUUUCCUUAAAUAACCACUUUUUGAAAAUUUCUUAUAGGACUAAGUGAGUCUCCGCUGAGAAUUUCCUUAACUAACACAACACUACUUGAGUGAUAAUUUGUUAUAUCUUGAAUAGAGAAUAAAUCAGUUCCCUACUUUUGAAGGUACUAUUAACUUACACUAUAUUUGAAUGAGAACAAUAAACUUAGAAUUUAGAUGAAGGAAAUAAAACAGUUUCCUACUUUUGAAGGUACUACUCGAGUGAUAAUUUGUUAUAUCUUGAUAACGUGUCAUAUUUUUUUGCUAAGCGGACCCAUUUUUGUGGGGUGGUAUAAUAAUGGCGUUUGUUGUUUGUCAAGGGCAUAUACCCAUUUAUCCAUUAGCAGUUAGGUCACCUCACUCACCCACAACCUAGUACAUCAACAAAUAUUGCUUACAAAUUCUAGAAAAUUCAACCAAGAGAAAGAAAACCAAAUGCUCGCAAAUUAAUCUGUGUAACAUUAGUUUUUAUCCAUUAGUAUUUAUUUUACAUUGGAAGAAAUUCCAAAUUUAAUCUCGUAAAGAGGGAUAUGAAAAUACUUUGUAUAUCUAUUAUCAAAAUCUUUGAAUGUUUGAAUGAUUGAUCAUCAAGUCUCACACGAUUGAAUUUAGUUCAAGUGAGGAAGAAAUACACACAAACUAUUAUAUAUGAGGAUUGAAAAAUACACUACAAAAUCUUGUGAUAACAUUUCUAAUAUUCCUUUCUAUCUACAUUUUGUGAUAAGUUUUUUUUUUCCUUUUUUGAACAAACUAUAUUUAUCUACAUUAAGGGAGAGGAGGUGAUCUUAGCCUCACAAUGGGCUAGCAUAAUGUGGUUCAAAUUCGCCUUUGGCGAUAAUCGAACCUAAAACUUAUCAUUUACAAGUAAAUAGGAAUACCACUAGAUGGAUCAUGAAAUUAGCAGUCUUAUAGGUAAAAAAAAAUUGAUCGACUAAAUGAUGUGUUAAAAAACAAGAUUAAUACUUGCAUCUCUCCACUUGAAAAAUGUAGAUAUUUCUGUGAACACGGAAAAUUCCUGAAACGAAAGAGACAAGAACAACGUGCACAAAAUAAUAUUUUGGUGUUAAUGGAUUUGUUGGGUUACGAUCUCUUUUAACUUGAUCCUCUGAUUCGAUCUCCGUAAGGUGUUGAUUUAUGGAUGUUUCGUUGAUCCAAGGGCUGUUGAGGCUUGAUCUUAGAUGAACUGUUGGAAGUUUCUUCAAGGGGCCGUGGGCUUGAUCUUUGAAGGUGGAUUUGAGCGGAUCUUCAAGGAGCCGUUGGGGCUUGAUCUUGAGGAUGAGUGUUUCUUCAAGGGCCGUUAAGGCUUGAUCUUGAAUAACGGUGAUGAACGGAUCUUCAAGGGCUUUUGGGCUUGAUCUUGAAGAACGGUUGGAUGUGUGGAUUUGUUGAUGUUGUUGAUCCAAGGGCCGUCGGAGCUUGAUCUUGGAAGAACGAUGAACGAAGAACGAAGAACACUUUCUUCAAAGGCCGUCGGGGCUUGAUCUUGAAUUGGUGAUUGUUGAUCCAAGGGCCGUCGGGGCUUGAUCUUGGAAGAACGAUGAACGAAGAACGAAGAACACUUUCUUCAAGGGCUGUCGGGGCUUGAUCUUGAAUUGGUGAUUGUUAAUCCAAGGGCCGUCGGGGCUUGAUCUUGAUUCUUCGGGAUGAACGGAUGAUGAACAAUGAACACUUUCUUCAAGGGCCGUCGGGGCUUGAUCUUGAAUUGGUGGAAGUUCUUCAAGGGCCUUUGGGGCUUGAUCUUGAAGGUGGAUGAUUGUUGAUCCAAGGGCCGUCGGGGCUUGAUCUUGGGAUGAACAGUUGUGUGGAUUUGUUGAACACUUUCUUCAAGGGCCGUCGAUGCUUGAUCUUGAAUUGGUGGAAGUUCUUCAAGGGCCGUUGGGGCUUGAUCUUGAAGGAGGAUUUGACGAAGAACGAAGAGGGCUUUCUUGAUCCUUCGGGAUUUGCUUGAAUUUGGGAGGUUGGAUGCUUGAAAGCUUUAGAGUUUCAAAGCUUCAAGGAUUUUGGAUGUGUGGGGAGUAUUCUCUUCCAUUUUGGGAGUAGAGAAAUGUAUUUGUGAAUUGGUUUUUGAUACCUUGAUGUAGAAGCCUAUUUAUAGGCUUUGAGAAUGAAUCACCACCACAAAAUAUUUUUUUUCUUUUCCAAGCACCAUUGCCUAAUUUCCCACUUAAUACAAUUUUAAACUUGAAGUGGUAAUUUUAUGGCCUAAUUUUCCACUUAAUAUCAUUUUAAACUUGAUAUGUGCAUGCUUUGUCAUUGCCCAAAAUGAGAAGAAAACCUUGUUUUGAUCUUCAAUGAAUUGAAAUGUGCUUGCCUUGUCAUUGCCCAAAAUGAGAAGAAAAACUUGUGUAAUCCUUCAAGGGUAUUUCUUUUUAUUUUGUUGAGUCGCACACCAUGUGUACAAUUUGUAUGACACGUGGCAUAUGCCAUGUACGCCUUGACACGUCAAAAUUUUAAUGCGUUGGUGAACAUUUAUUUCACCGCAAUUUCGGUGUCUACAAAUGCCCCCACUUCAAGGUGCGUCGUAUACAUGUGCUUGUCACGUGUAGGAGAUGCGUUUUGAAGUCCCUUACUGUAGAUGUCAAUCCAAUGGCCAUCGAGGCUUGAUCUUGAAUUGGGCUGGAGAUUUCUUCAAGGGCCGUUGAGGCUUGUUCUUGGACUUUGUUUGAAAUUUCUUCAAGGGCCAUCGAGGCUUGAUCUUGAAGGUUGAAAUUGGACCACAAGGAGCUUCAUGUGGUAGAUGAUCUUUGGCUUUGGUAGUGGAUGAAUCGGCACGUAUUUGUUUUUGCGCUUUGUUGACUUUCCACAGCUUUGAUCUUGAACUGGGUUGGAGGAUUUUUUGGAUUCCUCCAAUUGUUGAUUUUCCACAGUUUAUUCUUGAACUGGAUUUGAUUCAAAUAUGGUGGACGCUUGAUCUUGAAUCGGACUUGUGAUUUCCUCAAGGGCCGUCGAGGCUUGAUCUUGAAUUUGGCCGGAAACUUCUUCAAGGGCCGUUGAGGCUUGAUUCUUGAAGGUUGACUCGAACACAUGGCAAGCAGGCACGAGGUGAAGGUGACGACUUGUUGCUUUGUUCAAUCUUUCUAAUUCACACCUGAGCAGUUUGGUCAACGGUAUGAUCUUCAAGAUUGAUGGGCUCUUCUUCCAGUUGGUGAUUUGAUCUUUAAGGAUUUGAUUCAAGGGUGGUGAAACGGCACAUGCAGCCCACAACGCCUAGCAAGUCGACCCAAGAAUUUGAGGGUUAAAACGAGUCCUCCACCCAGAGUGAUUGCAAACCUGAUGAUAUGAGAUACUUUUGAUUUUGAAGAAGUAGCGGAUGAAUCGGCACGUGCUUUGUUGUGCUUGUCUCCACAUGCUUCAAUGUAUCAUUUUCCCUUGUCUUAUCUAUUCUUCUAGCAGAAUGUAGCAUCUUCUUAAGUUCUUCAACUCAGACUCCUUCUGCUGAGCUGACUGUGCAGGCUGCAUUAUUCUCUGCUUGUUUCUUUAGGCAGAUGUGGCAGCUUCUUGAGUUCCUCAGCUCGGACUCCUUCUGCUGAGCUGAUUGUGAAGACUGCAUUCUUAUCUGCUUGUUUCUUCUGUACGUUGUCUCCACAUGCUGCAAGGUAUCAUUUUCAAUUGCCUUAUUUGUUUUCCAGGCAAAUGUGGCAUCCGAGUUUGAGUGGAGGUUCUGGCAUAUUGUUUUCUUUAUCCUUGUCUUUGUAGGUAAGAACAAGGACAAAGGAAAGGACAGGGAGAACGCAUGAUAUGAUAUACUCUUGCUUUCUACCCUGGUGAUAUGAGAUACUUUUGCUUUGGUGUCAUUUGUUUGCAGAGGUACCCCAAGGAAUAAGAAACACUGAGUGACUCGAGAGGCUUUGUUGGGAAGGCAUUCUAGGAGAUGAAGAAAGGUUCUUGGAGAUGAAGAAAGGUUCUCGGAGAUGAAGAAAGGUUAUGUAUGUCUGCCUUGCUAUGGAGGGUAAAGGUGGACAGUUAUAGGAAAUUCUUUAGUACCUGUAGAGGUACUAUUCUUUUACUCGUGUCGGCAACCAAUGUGUGAUUGAUCAGUAUGGCUUCACGUGUUUUCUUCUUUAUCAGAAAUCUUCGACAAAUUGUCCGUAAUUUUCGUCAAGCUGAGUGUGCAUGUGACAGGUGUUGACGAGGCUGAAAAAGACUGGUGCCUCUUCGAUAUCUGGGAUCGGCGCUUCGACAAAUUGCCCGUGAUUUCCGCAAAGCUGAGUUUGCGCGUGACGGGUGCUGACGAGGCUGAAAAAGACUGGCGCCUCUUCGAUAUCUGGGAUUGGCGCUUUAACAAAUUGCCCAUGAUUUCUGCAAAGCUGAGUUUGCACGUGACGGGUGCUAACGCGUCUGGAAAAGCAAGAUGCUUCUCCGAUUUCUGAGCUUGCCUCUUUGAUUUUUGAAUUGGCCUCUUCGAAUUCUGAGCUCGCCUCUUCGAUCUUUGAAAUCCCAUCGAGUGUUGAUCUUUAUAGAGGCACGCAGUUCGUUUCAAAGCACACUUGAAUUUUCGCUUGUAGAAACUCCCUUCUUGCACUUCUAAGAUCUUGAUUUGUCCGACCUCUUCUUUCUUCAACACCUUUGAAAAUGUCUGGACCCUCCGACCGUCAUUUUGAUUUGAACCUUGGUGAAGAGGUAGUCCCGUCUUCUCCAGAUAACAUAUGACGCCCAUCUUUCAUAUCCCCUACUGGUCCUCUUACCGUUGGGGAUUCGGUGGUGAAGAAUGAUAUGACCGCUGCGGUGGUGGCCCGAAACCUUGUCACUCCCAGAGAUAACAGACUACUUUCCAAACGGUCUGAUGAGUUGGCUGUUAAGGAUUCUCUGGCUCUCAGUGUGCAGUGUGCAGGUUCUGUGUCUAAUAUGGCCCAACGCCUAUUUGCUCGAACCCGUCAAGUUGAAUCAUUGGCGGCUGAAGUGAUGAGUCUCAAACAGGAGAUAUUAGAGGGCUCAAGCAGAGAGAUAAACAGUUGCAUAAGCUCGCACAUAGCUAUGCGACAAACAUGAAGAGGAAGAUUAACCAGAUGCAGGAAUCUGAUGGUCAGAUUUUACUUGAUCAUCAGAGGUUUGUGGGUUUGUUCCAGCAGCAUUUGCCUUCGUCUUCUGGGGCUGUACCGCGUAAUGAAGCUCCAAAUGAUCAACCCUUGGCUCCUCUUCUUCCUGGAGUUCCGCCGAGUGGUGUGGCUUCAAACAGUCAACCUCCGACGCCUCUCAUUUCUGGAGCUCUGCUGAGUGGUGAGGUGGCACCUAAUCGUCCUUGAAGAUCCCCUCUUGUAAAUUUGAUUUGAUUUUUUUUUAAGUAUGUAUAAUGCAAAUUUAUGUAAAAUUUCCAGAAAAAAUAAAUAAAAACGGACUUUAUUUCUCUCAAUGCAUUUGUUUUGUUUUGUUUUUGUUUUUUUUGUUUUUUUGUUUUUGUUUUUUUUGUAAAUACAUAAUAACAUAUGUAUUUAUUUAUUUAUUCUUUUGUAAUAAAAUUGACUUUCUUUAAUAAAACUUUUAUAUUUUUCUUAUUUAUUUUGAUAUGACUGAACUCGAAAUUGAAUGUUCGAGCCGCCUACGUACCCUUCCAAAGAAGAGAUCAAGCCAUAACGUAGUUCAAAUGAGUGAUGAAUUUAAUAGUGAUUUUGAUGAUGAUUUUGCCGUACACAGUUUAUGCUCUUGUGGGCCAGGAGCUUUGGUGUUGCCUUUUAUGCUCGUGCAGACCAGGAGCGUUGAUGUCGCCUUUUAUGCUCGUGUGGGUCAGGAGCGUUGAUGUUGCCUUUUAUGCUCGUGCAGACCAGGAGCUUUGUGCCAUGCAGUUUAGACUCGUGCGGGCAAGGAGCUUUGGUUCGUGCAGUUUAGGCUCAUGCGAACAAGGAGCAUUGGUUCGUGCAGUUUAGGCUCGUGCGAACAAGGAGCAUUGGUGUUGCCUUUUAUGCUCGUGCAGACCAGGAGCUUUGUGCUAUGCAGUUUAGACUCGUGCGGGUGAGGAGAAUUUGUGAAUUUUGUCAAGCACUUUUGGAGAGGCGUUCCUUACAAUCUUCAUAGCAAGGAGCCUUGACCGAGUGAUUGAAGAAGUCUUCGGGAAAGAAGUCGCACAUCGUGAUGGCAACAGACGAUCUUUGUGUCGUAAUUUCAUCAUCUUCAACACGUUCACGUUGCUUUGAAGGUUGACAAGAGCUGCUUUGCCCCCUUUCCGAUUGGCGGACUUGUGGAGGAGACGUAUGCUUCUUGUGCCAUUUCUUAGGAGUGACUUGAGUCCAUCCUUCAAGUUUGCUUGUUUUGGAGGAUGCCCCCGGCGGUUGAGGUGAAAAUUUUGUGUUGAAAGAGCCAGAAGUGAUGGUGGUAUAGUUUGACUUCACCACAUCGUCAAGAUCUAGCUCGAUGAUUCCUUUCUGAGCCCACUUUAUGAUGAGAUCUUUCAGCACAAAGCACUUUUCUGUCGGAUGACUGAUGAAGCGGUGGAAUUUACAGUAUCUUGGACUGUUGGUACGAUUCAUCUCUUCCGGCCAUCUGCACUCAGGCAAACUGAUCACCUUCUUGUCCAACAGGUCAUCCAACAUGGCAACCACAUCAGAGUCAGGGAAUGGAUAAGUCUUCUCUUUAAGCUCCUUCAAAGUGCGUCUACGCAUCUCUUGAUCACGAAAAGCUUCGGUUUGAAUCGUUUUGCCUCGUGUGGAGAUUUUGACGGGAGAUGUGUUGACUGUCAUUGCUUCCUUGGUGGAUUUCCACGUAGCCUUCUCCACCUUUGUCUCAAGAAUUUUGUCGUUCUUGUAGUCGGCGAUCGGUUCCUUCUUCCCAUGAUGGGUGAUGCUCAACUCCAUGUCAUGGGCGUGGGUGGCCAAUUCCUCGAAGGUCCGUGGUUUAAUGCCUUGAAGGAUGUAUUGCAAACCUCAUUGCAUGCCUUGGAUGCACAUCUCGAUUGAAGAGGUCUCCGAGAGCCUAUCUUUGCAGUCGAGGCUUAGAGUGCGCCAUCUGUUGAUGUAGUCAAUGACCGGCUCAUCUUUCCAUUGCUUCAUACUUGUGAGCUCCAACAUGCUUACAGUGCGGCGGGUGUUGUAGAAGCGGUUGAGGAAUUCCCGCUCCAAUUGCUCCCAGCUGUUGAUGGACUCAGGCUCUAGGUCCGUGUACCACUCAAAUGCGUUUCUUUUCAGCGAGCGCAUAAACUGCUUGGCGAAGUAGUCCCCCUCCGUCCCCGCGUUGUUGCAAGUUUUGACGAAAUGUGCAACGUGCUGCUUUGGGUUUCCUUUUCCAUCAAACUGCAUGAACUUUGGUGGUUGAUAUCCCAUCGGCAUCUUUAGGGCAUCAAUCUUCUUUGAAUAAGGCUUUGAGUACAACCCGGAGGUAUUUGAGCUCCCUUCGUACUAUGCCUUGACGGUGCUGGCAAUCAUCUCUUGCAACUGUUGGAUAGAAAGAGAUCCCAUGAGUGCCGCUUCUUGGUCUGGCUCCGGCUUCACAUCGAUUUUCUCCACCGUAGGCUCAUCUUCUGGGUUAGGGUUCUCGCUGUCCUGUGGCUCCAGUUGACUGAUGAGUGCAGCGAUUUGCAAGUCUUUUUCUUCCACAGUUCGGGUUAGCCUUGCGAUUGCUUCAUUCAUUUGAGCCAGUUGUUCUUCGAUGGAGGUAACGCCGAUGGUCAUGACUUGUGCAACCAAUAGACGUGACUUUCCUUUAGACAUCCAAGAUGCUGAAGAAGAACGUCAUUGGUUGUUUUGGGAUGUCAUCUUGUGUGCCUCAGCAACAUGCUUUGGUGCCCCCAGCGAGGUCAGGUUGAUGACAGACUCACACCUUUGAUGCUCCCUUUGCUCUUUUAGCGGCACCAACUUUGAAGUGGCAUGUUAAGGAGCGGUUGUGGUGCUAAUGGAUUGUCCAUUUGCGGCAGAAGUGCUUAGGAUCCUUCCCUCAGUGAUUGCGAGAACGGCUUGUCCCUUGCUUGAUGCCAUUGAUUUUGAGGUGUGUUUGGAUUCCUUAAACGGAGAAAGAUAUGAGAGGUAGAGAUUGUCCCACCGGGCGUGCCAAUUUGUGAACACGAAAAUUUCCUGAAACGAAAGAGACAAGAACAACGUGCACAAAAUAAUAUUUUGGUGUUAAUGGAUUUGUUGGGUUACGAUCUCUUUUAACUUGAUCCUCUGAUUCGAUCUCCGUAAGGUGUUGAUUUAUGGAUGUUUCGUUGAUCUAAGGGCCGUCGAGGCUUGAUCUUGGAUGAACUGUUGGAAGUUUCUUCAAGGGGCCGUGGGCUUGAUCUUUGAAGGUGGAUUUGAGCGGAUCUUCAAGGAGCCGUUGGGGCUUGAUCUUGAGGAUGAGUGUUUCUUCAAGGGCCGUUAAGGCUUGAUCUUGAAUAACGGUGAUGAACGGAUCUUCAAGGGCUUUUGGGCUUGAUCUUGAAGAACGGUUGGAUGUGUGGAUUUGUUGAUGUUGUUGAUCCAAGGGCCGUCGGGGCUUGAUCUUGGAAGAACGAUGAACGAAGAACGAAGAACACUUUCUUCAAAGGCCGUCGGGGCUUGAUCUUGAAUUGGUGAUUGUUGAUCCAAGGGCCGUCGGGGCUUGAUCUUGGAAGAACGGUGAACGAAGAAUGAAGAACGAAGAACACUUUCUUCAAGGGCCGUCGGGGCUUGAUCUUGAAUUGGUGAUUGUUAAUCAAAGGGCCGUCGGGGCUUGAUCUUGGAAGAACGAUGAACGAAGAACGAAGAAGGCUUUCUUGAUUCUUCGGGAUGAACGGAUGAUGAACAAUGAACACUUUCUUCAAGGGCCAUCGGGGCUUGAUCUUGAAUUGGUGGAAGUUCUUCAGGGCCUUUGGGGCUUGAUCUUGAAGGUGGAUGAUUGUUGAUCCAAGGGCCGUCGGGGCUUGAUCUUGGGAUGAACAGUUGUGUGGAUUUGUUGAACACUUUCUUCAAGGGCCGUCGAUGCUUGAUCUUGAAUUGGUGGAAGUUCGUCAAGGGCCGUUGGGGCUUGAUCUUGAAGAAGGAUUUGACGAAGAACGAAGAGAGCUUUCUUGAUCCUUCGGAAUUUGCUUGAAUUUGGGAGGUUGGAUGCUUGAAAGCUUUAGAGUUUCAAAGCUUCAAGGAUUUUGGAUGUGUGGGGAGUAUUCUCUUACAUUUUGGGAGUAGAGAAAUGUAUUUGUGAAUUGGUUUUUGAUACCUUGAUGUAGAAGCCUAUUUAUAGGCUUUGAGAAUGAAUCACCACCACAAAAUAUUUUUUUCUUUUCCAAGCACCAUUGCCUAAUUUCCCACUUAAUACAAUUUUAAACUUGAAGUGGUAAUUUUAUGGCCUAAUUUUCCACUUAAUAUCAUUUUAAACUUGAUAUGUGCAUGCUUUGUCAUUGCCCAAAAUGAGAAGAAAACCUUGUUUUGAUCUUCAAUGGAUUGAAAUGUGCUUUGCCUUGUCAUUGCCCAAAAUGAGAAGAAAAACUUGUGUAAUCCUCCAAGGGUAUUUCUUUUUAUUUUGUUGAGUCACACACCAUGUGUACAAUUUGUAUGACACGUGGCAUAUGCCAUAUAUGCCUUGACACGUCAAAAUUUUAAUGCGUUGGUGAACAUUUAUUUCACCGCAAUUUCGAUGUCUACAAUUUCAUUUCUUGUGAAUAAUGUUUAUCCUGUGUUCUGUCCAAUCGCGUAUUAAAAAAUGUGUGAAGUUUGGAUUAACCACACUCUUUUAGAAUUUCCUUUAUUUACCACUUUUUGAGAAUUUCCAAUAAGACUGGGUGAGUCUCCGCUGAGAAUUUCCUCAACUAACACCACACUACUUGAGGGAUAAUUUGUUAUAUCUUUGAAUAAAGAAUAAAACAGUUUCCUACUUUUGAAGGUACUAUUAACUUACACUAUAUUUGGAUGAAGGUCAAACUUUAUAAAUUGACAUACACCAAAUUCUUUGUUUGGAUUCAUAAACAUAUAAAUUUAGAAUUUCCGCGUGGAAAAAAAAAAUACUUAGAAUUUGAGACCUCCAAUUCUCAAAUUGAAAGUUUAAAAAUAAUAAAUUCCGUAUUCAAUUCAAUUGUUCUUUUAGGUUAACCAAAUAAGAAAAUUCACAAAUUCUAAAAUAUAAAAUCUCAUCAUUUCAAUUUCCGUCAUUUUAAAAUUCCUUAGUAAUAUUAAAUUUCUUCAUCCAAACAUAGUGUUAAGAAAUUUUUUAAAGAUACACUAUUUACACUCAUUUUUAUUUCUUACACAUUUAUUAACUUUGUCCAUUGAUUUCUUCAAUUCAUUUUGCCAGUUAUACAAAAAUUGAGAACAGUAUUUAUGAAUUAAAAAUACAUUUGUAGAUGUCACUACCAAAUUUUUAUUCCUAAUUCAAGAAAAUCUUAUCCAUAUAUGAUUGCCCUUGCCCACUUUAAAUGGGUGCCAUCACUUUACGAUAGAGCAAUCCUAACCGUCCACCUAGGUAAGCAUAACUGGCGAUGCAUGUCGCAAGGGGACCGCAUUGCACAAUAUAAUUAUACUAGUUGAUAAGACAAGUGAUGUCAAUCAAUAAAUUAUUUCAUUAAAACUUAGUUGUAUGUAUCAUAUGUUGUAAUGUAGGGUGUAUGAUAUGCUGACGCUGUAAAAAAAUGUAACCUUUUUAAUAUUACUCAUAAUAGUAAGACUUACCAGUAUUAGGAUGUUAUCAGUGGAAUGAGAAUCCUCUCCAGAUCUUUUUUGUGAGCUAUUAUUUGUAUUUAAUUUUAAAUAUAAAAAAUUAAAAUAAUUUAUGACGGCAGUGAUUCACAUGAUCUUCACAAAGAGAAUCCAAAUAAUCUUAAUUUAUAUCAGUGUGUCUAGAUAACAUGAUCGAGCCCCUUUACUUUUACCCUAUUUAGUAUUUUACAUUUGAACCUGUAAAUAUUCGAUUUUUCUUUGGUGCAACCGAGCACCAAAUAUAGAUUUUUUUUCACUUUUAUAUAAUGAUAAAUAAAGGGCAAUUGGCAGAUUUGAAUUCCAUUCGGAUUGGUCAAAAAUCAUUUUAAAUUGUUUUAUUUAAAAUUAAACACAUAUAGUACUUAAUAAAAAUUAGUCGUACAAUAUACGAUAAACAGAUAUAAUGUAAGGACCUUUAUGAUCUUCACAAAAAAGAUCCAAAGGUUGUGUAGCUGUUUCAAAAGGAUAAUACUCACUUUUGAUUAGUUCAAUGAAAUUUUAAACAUGUUUUAUUGUUUUAAAAAAUAAUAAACAUAUUUAUUAAUGUUUGUUUUACUUUAAAAAAUAAGCAGCACUUGACAACAUUUGAUUGUGCUAAAUAAAAAAUGAGUGACCACUUAGUACUACAGUCUUAUGAUAUUUUUCUUCAUUUGAAAGUGAGAGGUUUUAAGUUCGAAUCUCGUGGAUGACGAAUUUGAUAUCAAAUUAGAUUGCUCACUAUGUGGCUUAGCCGAACUCUCAUUUCCUUUAAUGUAAAAAUAUUGAUGUAUUCAAAAAAAUAAAAAGUGACUAUAGAGGACACUCAAUCUCAGCUGUAUGAUUAAAUCAGACGGUAAGAAAAAUUCUGCAAGCAUACUCGGUUACAUUAAUUGAAGAAAAAAUGGGUAAAUAUUGGGCACCAACGUUAUAAAUACCCUCCACCAUGCACCCAACUCCCUCACACCAUCACAACCCACGUUACAAAUCCUCCUCCUCAUCAUAACCAUUCUGUUUUCCGCAUAAUAUCCAAAAACCUAUCAUGUCUGAAGAGAAACACCACCGCGGUCUCUUCCACCACCACAAGGAUGAAGACAAACCCUCAGACUACCCUCAGUCUGGCUACUCUGAUGAAGGACGUCCCGGCGGCCUCGGUGGUGGUUACGGCGACACCAAUGAUUAUUCUGGUGAAGGACGUACCGGCGGCCUAGGUGGUGGCUAUGGCGACACCAAUGCUUAUUCUGGUGAAGGACGUCCCGGCGGCUAUGGCGGCUAUAACGAGACCACUGCUUACUCUGAGGAAAGAGUUGAAAGACCCGGCGGUGGCCGGUACAGUGAGACUACUGCGGCAUAUGGCAGCACCACCACUCAUGAAUCUGAACUUGAUUACAAGAAGGAGGAGAAGCACCACAAGCAU
rnacentral:lncRNA from 1 species